GUAUUUGGCUAUAAGUAUGUAAGAAGGAUGUAUGGAUGGUAUGUAUCAAAUUUGCAGCAUAGUAAACAUUGUUAUUGUCCCUUUCUCUUCCAUUUCUUUUCUUCUCUAAUUUCUGUUUUCUGUUUUUGAGCUUAUUGCUUCUGCUGCCAUUACAAAAGCUAACAGUGGUAUACAGAGCAGUGUUCUUAGAGGCUGUGAGAAAAAGAAAAACACACCCAGAAAAC
rnacentral:lncRNA from 1 species